AAUUAAGAAAAAGAUGUCAAUUUCUUUACAGUCUACAGGGGUAAAACCGUAAUUAAGAAAAAGAUGACUUCAACCUUGGUUAUUUUGAGCAGUAGCAAAAUUCUUCAGUUUAUUGGAUGAGUUUCAUGAAGCUUCUAGCUGCCAUUUCAUAGAAAAACUUUCAAAAAAGAAACCCACAGAUGAAUUGUUUGUUGGGAUUUAGACCAAAAAGAUUGGAAACCCUGUAAGUAUACAAAGUAACUCAAUAAGGUCGAAGAAAAUCUAAAAAGAAAAAAGGAUGAUUAAAAACCUGUGGAAGACGUCCAACAAUAUCAAUGCCGUAUUUUCAUAUAAACAAGAUCCCAUCCAUCCCCAAAGU
rnacentral:lncRNA from 1 species